AAGACUUGUGGUGUUUUCUUACAGAAGUCUGCUCACACACCAGUUGACCAGGGUCUUAAAAGAAUCCUUAUCUACUUCGACCAGAGAAAUUCCAACCCAAGGGAACUUGGAAUUUAUGGAUUUUGAAGGCAACAAGACCUAAGAUGGUGCUGCAGCUCUUUCCCCCAUUGCUUAAUAUCUUGAUGGCAUUUUAAAGACCAUGGGUUCUGAAUCAACCUGUUGCCGUUUUAUCCAAGAUUCUUCACCAAAAGUCCUCUAUCCUUGCUGGACCGUGGUGCCCACUGACCAUGAAUGAAAUUCUUCUCCCUCGCCACCAACGUGCUCCCAUUCACCUGGGACCCAGCAGCAUGUCUACAGCCACCUCUGUUCAUGACUUCCCCAUCCUCUUGACACAUUACCAUCACCUGAGAAAUACCGAGCAGCAAAGAACUUCUGCAAUGCCAACCAAACUAUCACAGUUGUUCAUAUCCCUGCUUCUCCUGCUGUGUCCGCAGCUCUUUUUGACCAUUCCUACAGGCCAAGAACCUGGAAACACCUGGCCCAGAUCCUGACUGCUAUCAACACACCAACUUUGUCCAGCUUGAAAACAAAGCAGAACAAAACAAGACAAAGGCAAAGACAAAAAAACAAAACAAAACAAAAAAAUCCCCCAAAGACCAAAACCAAAACAAAAAACCCACCAAAACCUCUGUUCCUUUUGUGUUUUAUUUUCCUCAUUAGUCAUUCCUGUUAGUGAGCACACACACGCCACGCCUCAUCAAAACAUACUGUACCUUAUUUCCAUGUCACUCCCUCCCCACUUAUUCUUCUUCUGAACAAAAACACUCUAUUCACAUUUUCUCCCUCCUCCUAGUCUUCCUCAGGUCUACUCCAGGCAAGCUCACACCCCACUACCAAGGAAACCCUUACAGUGAAGCUUCCAGCGACAUCUGCACUGCCAAGGCCCACUCUGAAGUCCCAGCUCUUGUCUUGGUCAACGAGUCGCAGUCACUGACUUCGGGGGCUGAUGAAUCCCUUCUGUCCUGAAACACUUGCUUCUCUUGGCUCGCUCUUGGGACUCUGAACUCUUGCAUCUCUCUGGCCAUGUCCUUUUGCCUCCUUGUGCUUCCCUAGACUCCAAUAGAUGGUGAUUUUCCAUGUCUCAGUCCUUGACCUUUCCUGUCAAGGCUUACUCUCUGGCUGACAUCAUGCAGUCUCAUGGUUGAAGCCUCAUCUAUAUUUGGAUUCUCUUGGUUCCGAGUUUCUAUCUUUAGCCUGAACUUCUUCCUUUAACUCUCUGCUUGCACAUCCCAUGGCUUCCUUACUGUCGGUAUCUCGCAGCUAGUAGAACUCAUAGUGCACUCUGUCUGAGCUCCUGACGUGGUCCACACUUCCACUCGCCUCCAGCAGCCUGUGCUUUGUCUGCUGACUCUAUUGUCACCCUUCCUUUUUGUUGUCACAUUGGAAAUUCUUUUGGUUUCACUUUCAAGACCUCCCCAGAAACCACACGCUUGUCGCCAUCUGACAGGCUACCUCUAUCCUGGUCUAAAACCUGUCAAUUGCCUAUGAACUAAACAAACAGCCUGCACAAGUACAGACCCUGAAGUCCCACCAUGCAGACUGGACGCAGUGGCUCUGCCAGUAAAGAAUGACCUGAGCAAGGUGCUCAACUCUGCUUCUCCAGGUUCCUCACUGGGAAGACUGGGAUCCUAACAACAAUGCUGCUACUAUGACUAGAAGUUGUGGAAAGUAUUAAAGAAAAAAAAAAAACACCCCACAUAUAAAAUAUUGCCAGCCCCUACCAAAUAGCAUAUGACCAAUAAAUGCUAAGUAUUAUCUAUAAAGCUAUAAAAACUCCAUGACAGCGGAUGAAAGGUGGUCAGCAAAAUCAGAGAAGUUAUGGGAAUAACUAUUCUGCUGAGCAUAAGCCAAGACGAUCUUUCCAUAUCCAAACCUAAGACAGGUGUGGUGGUGUGUGCCAACAAUCUCAGUGCUUUGGAGGCAGAGGCAAGAGGAUCAAGAUUUCAAGGCGAUCUUCAGACAAUAGUGAGCCCAAGGGAAGCCUGGGCUGCAUUAGGUGCUAUGUCAAAAAUUCAAACAUGAAUAAAUAAAUAAAAAUUAAUUAAUUAAUACCCAGGCCCAUGUUGAAUCAGGAUAGAGCAUGUUUGCAUCAACUACUCUGACCUGUGCCUGUCUCUCGGUCCAUUGCACCUUGGAGCAGCUUUUAUCUGUCUUACAGUUUUACAGACAGACAACCCACUGCUAAGAUGCCUCGAUCUGGUAGUACUUGGUAUUAUCAUGUCGCUGUCCUCAGCUUUAAGAACAAUUUCUUCUCCAAAUCCCCUUCCAGAUCCCAGGAAUCACAGAUGGCCUUAAUCUCAAUCUUGGCUCUAUUCUUGGUCAAUCCCCCAAUCACUCUUAAGGAUUCCAUAUCUGGGUUACUGUUGCUGCUACCAAUGACCACAUUUAAAAGUGAGCCCAGCUCGGCAUCAGGUCCUCUGCCUAUAUACUGGAGCUUCCAGGUUAAGUGUUUUAUGGGUGCUUGAGUGUGCAAACAAGAGGGUCUCUGACUCUUCUGCUUCUUGUGCUUUUUUCCUUCUGUUGGUUUGUCUUGCCCAACUUUAAUGUAUCUUAUUAUAUUCGUUUUAUCUUAUUAUAUUUUAUUUUGUUAUAUUAAGAAGUGAAUGAAUGAAUGAAUGAAUGAAUGAAUGAAUAAAUGAAAACUUAGCAUAAAGGUUAACAACUGAACUGUCACUUAUACCUGCUGGGGACAGGAGAGGGAAAAAUCAGUUUUCUCCGACAAAAUAACACUGGGUGUAUCAACCAUUCCAGAACAGGCCUCACGUUCCAUGUCGGCUGACCAGCACAUAACUGGACUCCACAAUUAUUAUUUUUUUGUGUGUAUUUUCUUUGGCUAUGCUUUGGCAGAUCCUUUUUUUUUUUCUCUUUUGUGGUAUGGUUUUUACCUUGUUUUCUUGGUUUUGAGGGGCUCUGCUGUGUUGAGUUUUUGUUUGUUUUUUGAACAGGAACUUUAAAGUUGGGUGGGUAAGGAAGGG
rnacentral:lncRNA from 1 species